UUUUCACAAAUCGAACAUAAACCAAGCUCGAAAAAGAGCGUAGUAGUAUUAUCACACCCUUAGUUAUGUAACCGGUUUUUGAAUUUGUUCCGCUAACGCUUAACUAAUACCCCUUUGAUGGUUGCCCAAUGCACCAUCAAUUCCCAAUUUGGGUUUUUAAACAGGACUUUGACUUAUCUUAAGUCCAAUAAUUGAACUGCAAUCCAAGCUUUUGGGAUUUUAUUUUGAGCUUAUUUUGAUGAUUCACAAUAUUUAUAUUAUAAAAUUCGUAUUAAAUAUCAGUACUGUAAAAAAUUACAUUGAUAUGAUACAAUUCAAUACCCGUUUAAUACUACUUUAUAACUUAAUAAAUGAGGAUAACACAGAAGACUAUACCCAAUUAUUUUGAUAUUGAUUGACUAUUAAUCUGUAUUUGAUGAACGUGAUUUUAUAAAAUUUUUAAAUUUUUAAUGAGACUUAUAAUAUGAAUAAUUUAAAUAAUGAAAAUAAAUUUAAAAAUAUAUUCAAAAUACUUGAAUUACACUGUAUAAUUUAAAUUUAAACUGUAGAGAAGUAUGGUCCUUUAAACAAUUAGGUCCAUCAACUAUCAGGCCAUUUGCAAUGUGCACAAAAUCCUAAUGACCGUUUAUUUUUGGAUAAAAAACAAUCCCGGUAAGCAUCGCGUGAUGGACCUGGAUCCACGUUGCGACACGUGAAAUCCUUGACCCAAAUUCACCCAAACGGGGGCAAACCUAACCCUAACCCUCCCCCCCCCCCCCCCCCCCUCUCUCUUCCUCCCUUGGUUAGCAGUAACCCGGUCCCGUCCAACCAUAUUGGUGGCCGGGUCAGCCCAUCUGGUGGCAUCGAAUCAUUAUAGACUCGACUUUAAUAGUGGUACGGACCAGCCAAGCAUAUUGGGCCUGCCCAAUUGGGUGACGUCGAUAGACCCAACACCAAGGCCCAAUCAAUGAUUCUAUAAUCGGCUCCUCUUAUAAUUAACGUCCCAUGGUAGGAAUGAUAAUUCAUUCUGGCCAAACUUGAUGGGUCUUGCUAAAUCGGCCGGUAUGAAUUUUACUCUAUUUUUUGUCUGAUAGAGAUGAGUAUGGUGAUAGGAGUGAAAUACUUGGUCGGGUAUAGAUUUGAUAUGGUUUGACUACCUCUAUACCAAAAUUCGAUGAAUAGAAUUAUGGUGAUGAAAAAUGUAAUGUAUAAAAUUUAUUGAAUUGGUAUUUUUUUUAUUAUAAUAUGUGAUGUAUGUACUAGAUUAAGAAUAAUUUAUAAUAUGUGGCGUAUUUAAAAGGUUUCCUAUGAAAUAUGUUGUAAUUUGAUAUAUGAUAGGGUAAAUUUAUAACUUUGAGGAUUGAAAUUUUAUUUUAUUUUUUUUAAAGAUUCGGGUAUGGGGCAUAUCCGAAUCACCCAAUACUCGAUUGAGUUUGGGUUUGAUUGUCAUAUUCAUACCGCCGUGUAUUAGGUAUAAGUUUGGUCUGGGAAUGAAAAAUAAGUUCGGAUGUAAGUGUUGGAAAUAUGGUGUGAAUGAAAGCCAAAAUAGGGCUGGAUUUAACAAAUCCCAAAGAGUUGUUAAGUUAUAGUAGCUCGAAGGGCAACCAUAUUAAAAACACCUAAAAGCUAGGUUUAUAGAGCAUAAACAGCCCUAAAAGCUGUUAUAAUGGCAGCCAGAACUACCCUUUGAUGGGGUUUUGGUUUUAUGGUUGUGAGGUUCACAUUUCUCAAGCGUCAUUGUGUUCUCCUAUAAAUUGGAGGGAAAAUCUACAAAGGAGAAGAAAAAAUAAUAACAGUUUGGGGAAUAUGCAUUUGAGUUCUUUGAGAGAAAGCGAGACGGAUCUUUAUCUUUCGCCAAGGCUUGCGUCGGAGGUGUUCCGACGUAACGGUUCAGUCAUUUAUCCUGGGAGUAACGUCGGUCAAAACCUACAACACCCUCGUUGCGGCGAAUCUUGCUUACGGAGACCUGCGAAAGCAUGACUUGGCCUAUUUUUACAUUUUGUAUCUCUACUUCUCUGAAUCUCUAACUUCUGUUUUGUAUUUAAUUUCUUGCAUUUCCUUUAUGGUAUUUCAAUUUUAUUGCAAAUUGAAUAAAAUUAUUCUUUGAAAUUCUAUAUUUGCCGAUCACAUUUUUUCUACAAACUUAAGCAAGAUUGUUUUUUCCUUGUGAUCGGCAAUCGAAUUUUAGAAAAUAAUUUCCAUUCCGGGUUACUAAUAUUUGGGGGGGGGGGGGGGGGGGGGGGUGGGGGAGGAGAGAGGGGUUUAGGUUCACUUCCAACUUCCAUCUUUAUUCCUAGACUGGUUUUUUCUGUGUUUGAAAACUAUUUUCAGUUUAGAACAUAUUUUUUUUUCUGAAACUGUCAUCAGUUUUUUUUAAGAGAUUUCUGUAUUCUGAUUUUCAGAAAUUGAAAGGUUUCAGAAUAUAUAUAAUCUUUCAGAAACUAAAACUGCUUUGGUUUUAUUGCUGUUUAAUGAUCAAAUUGGUUCAGUUUAAAAAAAAAAAAAAAAAAACUUAAUAAUGAUGGGGAAACAAAAGAGAUGGCAGAACAAUGUUGGGUUUAAAACUGGUUCAUAUUCAUCUUUUGAUGGAGGAUUCAGAAUUGACGUUGGAGACGGUCUGUUGAAGGAACUAUUUCCAAAAAGAAAGAAAGAAAAUAUAUAUGUUUACUCAUAUGUGUUUGACUAAAUUUCAACAAGGUAGGUUUGUUGGUUUUAAACUGUUUUUACUUUCUUCAAAAACUGUGGUUUUAUAAAAUUGUUGCUUCCGGUUGUUUAAUUGAGGCUCACAUGCCACAAACCUUGGAAUUUGCGUUUUCUAUUUGGGUAUUUGAGGAUUUAGAUUUUUUAUGUGAAAUUCUCCCUGGAUGGAUGGCUUGAUUGAUUUGUUUUACUUAUCAAUUCCAAGAACAAACUGUUUUUGAGAAGGAAAAAAAAAAAGGGAGAAAACUGUUUUUUGAUUUUUUUUUUUUCUAAUUGCUGUGAAAAAAAAAACCGGAGAAGAAAACUAUUUUUUGAGAUGAAAACAACCAGUGUUUUUGUUUACGUUUAUAGGAGAGUGCCGCGGUGGUGGGGACUGUGGCUAUACUCUGUUACAGAAAUUAUUUUCCAAAAGAUGGAAAUUAUAUAUAAUAUAUAUAUAUAUAUAUAUAUAUAUAUUCGACAAAUUCCAACCAUUCCUAAGAGAGAGAAAUGGGAUAAGGGAAGAGGGUCACUGUGAGAGAGAGACCCAGGUAUAUGCGUUUUUUUUUUUGAGUCUAUUGAUGGUGACUAGGAAAACGCAUAGAGAGGAGAAGAGUGGGAAGUAACCUUCCACUUAUCUUCUUAAUUACAAUUUUGAAUGGAAAAUAAAUAAAUAAAUUACUAUUUUAGCCAAAUUUUUAGAGGAUUUAUUUAUUUAAUUCAAAACUUUUAGAAUUUACAUAUGGACCCCAAUCUUUUCUGUAAUUACAUAAUUUUUCCAGAUUUGGGAGAAAGAAAAAUAAUUAGUUUUUUCCUCCUACGUUGGUAAUUAACAAUUUUCACAAAUUUUUAAGAUUGCAAUUUUAAAACCCAGAUUUUUUUAAAAAUUAUUGUUUUAAUCCCUGGGUCAACGUGCGUGUUUGACCUUGAUCAGUUGUUUGUUUGACAUUGAGAGGCUAACGACCUUAGGCAUUGUGCGCGACUGGCCUUUGUGGAAUACACUGAUCAUGACACAUAAUUUGUUUUUAAUCCCUGGGUGGUUCACCGUGCGCGUUUUGACCUUGAUCAUUUUUGUUUGUGACUUGAGAGGCUACGCCUUAGGCAUUGUUGCGCGACUGGCCUUUGUGGAAUAAACUGAUCAUCAAUUUUUGAAAUAAUUCUACUCGGUUAUGCCGUGACCUGCUUGGGAGAAUACAUUAUGUGCUUGGCUUAUUAGUCUGCCAGUGAUGGCUUGACUAUGUCGAUUAUGUGGUCGGCUUGAAGUGAUUGGUUAGUGGAAUACUUUCACUCAGCAACACAGGACCUGUGGUGGUGUUGGCCUAUACAUGCUGUGUUAUGCUCGACAAAGGCAAAAGAUAAAAUCACAGUAUUAGACUUGUGUUUGAAAUAAAGUUAAUAUGGUUCUUCGUUUCACUCGGUUGAAAGAAGUAUCCUAACCAUGGGUUUAAUCCCUACCGAUGUGUGUGAUUUUGAAGUAUUUCGAAAAAUCAAUGUGAACAAGUAAUUUUAAUUACUUUCAUAUAUGUUGUAGUAAAUAUUAUUAUGUUUUAUUUUUGCUAAGCAUGAAAUUUUUGGAAAAGUUCAUUCUAUAUAAGAAUGAAUGGUGAAUAUGAAAUCACCACCCACGUGAAGGAUAUGUGCCUAGGGCAGAUGUGAUAUUGGAGUAAAAAUUAUCAACCAUUCUAAUGAACUUGGGUUGGUCUCAGACAUACUAUAUUGAUAAAGAUUAACGAGAAAUUUCAAUAAGUCUGAUUCAAAUGUGCAAGGACUCCUAAUUGAUGUAAAUCUCCCACUUAUCCACGAAUGGGGGGAAAGCUAUCCCAGUUGAAGUAUUCUUGUAUAAUUGUGAGUUUUAAUGUACUCAAUGAGUUUUGAUACGACUCUCAAAUGGGGUUGUCACAUUCACUAUGUGAGGUCAAAUGAAAUUAUCCUUGCGGAUCCGCUACCAAAGGGUUACCAACCUAGAGAGUUAUUAUCAUGUAUCGAAGGAAUGGGUUGAAACGCCUAUACAUAAAAAGAUAUCGUGAAGGAAAACCCCAACCUAUUUGACUGGAGAUCCACAGAUCUAGGUUCAAUGGAACAACCUACUGCUAUAAUCUAUAAAUAAUCACUGUGGACAAACUUCUAACUUCUUCUAACCCUUUUCCUUGAAUGCAACAGUGAUUGUGGAUAAGGUUAAGCAUUAGCUUUAAUGAUUUUGUGCUGGUGACCAGAAUGGGUAUAAUGAAAUAUCAUGGAAAAAAGUCACCUAUGUGAGUAUGAAUGGGGCCGCUUUCUUUGACAAUUUGAGAAGGCAAAACUUUCGAGAAAAUACUUACAGAACCAGGAAGAGGUGUGUUCCA
rnacentral:lncRNA from 1 species